rnacentral:rRNA from 1 species
GGUAUAGUAGCAAUACUAGAGACCGGCGCACGGGUGCGUAACGCGUAUGCAAUCUACCUUAUACAGAGGGAUAGCCCAGAGAAAUUUGGAUUAAUACCUCAUAGCAUAGCAACUUCGCAUGAAGUCACUAUUAAAGUUCCAACGGUAUAAGAUGAGCAUGCGUCCUAUUAGCUAGAUGGUAAGGUAACGGCUUACCAUGGCUACGAUAGGUAGGGGUCCUGAGAGGGAGAUCCCCCACACUGGUACUGAGACACGGACCAGACUCCUACGGGAGGCAGCAGUGAGGAAUAUUGGACAAUGGGCGCAAGCCUGAUCCAGCCAUGCCGCGUGCAGGAAGACGCAUCUAUGGUGUGUAAACUGCUUUUGUACGGGAAGAAACACUCCCUCGUGAGGGAGCUUGACGGUACCGUAAGAAUAAGGAUCGGCUAACUCCGUGCCAGCAGCCGCGGUGAUACGGAGGAUCCAAGCGUUAUCCGGAAUCAUUGGGUUUAAAGGGUCCGUAGGCGGUUUGGUAAGUCAGUGGUGAAAGCCCAUCGCUUAACGAUGGAACGGCCAUUGAUACUGCCAGACUUGAAUUACUGGGAAGUAACUAGAAUAUGUAGUGUAGCGGUGAAAUGCUUAGAUAUUACAU